rnacentral:rRNA from 1 species
AACGAACGCUGGCGGCAUGCCUAACACAUGCAAGUCGAACGAGACCUUCGGGUCUAGUGGCGCACGGGUGCGUAACGCGUGGGAAUCUGCCCUUGGGUUCGGAAUAACAGUUAGAAAUGACUGCUAAUACCGGAUAAUGUCUUCGGACCAAAGAUUUAUCGCCCAGGGAUGAGCCCGCGUAGGAUUAGCUAGUUGGUGAGGUAAAGGCUCACCAAGGCGACGAUCCUUAGCUGGUCUGAGAGGAUGAUCAGCCACACUGGGACUGAGACACGGCCUAGACUCCUACGGGAGGGCAGCAGUGGGGAAUAUUGGGACCAAAUGGGCGGAAAAGGCCUGAUCCACGCAAUAGCCGCGUGAGUGAUGAA